rnacentral:tRNA from 1 species
GGGUAUGUAGCUUAGUGGUAGAGUACUUGCCUACCAUGCAUGAAGCCCUGGGUUCAAUUCCUCAGAACCA